GACGAACGCUGGCGGCGUGCCUAAUACAUGCAAGUCGAACGCUGAAGGAGGAGCUUGCUCUUCUGGAGGAGUUGCGAACGGGUGAGUAACGCGUAGGUAACCUGCCUGGUAGCGGGGGAUAACUAUUGGAAACGAUAGCUAAUACCGCAUAACAGUAGAUGUUGCAUGACAUUCGCUUAAAAGUUGCAAUUGCAUCACUACCAUAUGGACCUGCGUUGUAUUAGCUAGUUGGGGGGGUAACGGCUCACCAAGGCGACGAUACAUAGCCGGGCUGAGAGGGUGGAUCGCCAAAAUGGGACCGGGACACGGCUCAGAAUCCUACGGGGGGGAGCAGUAGGGAAUCUUCGGAAAUGGACGGAAGUCUGACCGAGCAACGCCGCGGGAGUGAAGAAGGUUCUCGGAUCGGAAAGCUCUGUUGUAAGAGAAGAAAGAGUGUGAGGGUGGAAAGUUCACGCUGUGACGGUAUCUAAACAGAAAGCGACGGCUAACUACGUG
rnacentral:rRNA from 1 species